CCCUCUUUUAAAAAAUUUGCUUUUGAAUUUCUCACCUCUUUUAUGUACUUGAGUGUCUGUCUUUACUGGAAAAAGUUUUGAAGCACCCAAGGUAUUUUCAAUCAGUGUUAGUCUUACAGGAGAACAGCACAAAUUUUACCCAUCCUUUCCAUACAGAAAAUUUUACCAAGACUCAGGUUUUUCUCACUUCUAUUAUCUCAGCUCUCCUUCACAACAUGGAUAGCUUGAGUGAGGUUUCUUUCUCAGGUUACUAUCAACUUUAAUUCAAACAGAUAAAUCAAAACACUUGGCAGUUUGUAAUGGAAGGGUGGAACAGAACUGGAAAUGGGUUAGCAGUGAUAUGCAGGACUGGGGAGAUUGCAAGGGGAGAAGAGUGGGUCUUGAGCCAGGAGCCUGCAUCCCCCUCUUCUACCUCUACUUGAAGAUUGCCAUUUUAUUCUAGAGAUGAGAGGUAGAUGGGUGGCUGGGGAGGACUGUUUUGGACUGUCUCAGAAAGAUAUCUUAGGCUCUUGAUUUUUGUUGCCCCUUGAAUCCUACUGUAAGCAACCAUGAGUAUUUACACAGGCCCUGCCUUCAUCCAGGUCAGAGGAGGAGGAAUCCAGCAGGAGAAGAACUCACAUCUGAGGCACUGUACUGCAGCACAAGUACAUAUAUGGAGAAGGCUGAAGACUUUAAAGCUUAGCUUCCAAUGGUCCCAGAGGUUGGAUAUAGCAUUGCAGAAAGUGGUGAUGUGAAGGUCUGAGAAAAUUCUAAUUGUGUCUGGAAAGGUACGUCACAAUACAGCAAACAGUUUCAGGCACACUGAACAAUAGGAUGGUACAGUCUGCACCGACACUGGAGAAGCAAGUGCAUCCACCUCUUCCAGUAAGUGUUACAGAAUAAUACAAAGUGGCUGAGAGCUACAAGCCCGGAGCUAUUUCUAGAGUUCUCACAACCUCUGAACUGACAGUAUUCCAGCUCUUCCACUAUGACAUAGAAGAAAAUAGCUGCAAUCUACUUGCUGAUCUUCAGAGAGAAGGAAUACCACAGCUGAGAGGGGAAACAUUUGCUGUCUGUCAAUUUGAAUUUUGGAAUAGGGGAGAAGGUUAAGGACAGAGUAUGGAAGAGAUAUACAAUGGUAAAUGUUAUAAUUAACUCAAAGGUGGUGGACAAACUGUACCAUAUAGAUUGUCCUAUGUAAUUCCCUGUGACAAGAAUCACCUUGGAACAAAGUUGUUUUUGGAUCUGUAUCUGUUGGAGAAGGAGCCUCAUUUCUGGUGGAAGAAGUUAGGCUUUCCUCUAGAGCUAAACAUGCUGGGCUAGAGCCUUGAGAAUCUCAUUGCUAUCAUUGUAGGACCUGCUGGACACAUCUGGAAUGAAUGAACUCUUCAAGCCCUUGAAAACAUUGAAUUUGAAUUCCAGUUCCAAACACGCUUCGUGUCUGGCUUGGAUGAAAAAGGAAUAUGCCUUGCAAUUUGCACCAGUGAUGAUGAAGUACAAGUACUAGAUAGCUUACAUUUUAUCCGUCUCUCUCCAUUUUUAGCUAGUGUGGCUACCAAACUGUUUGAUACUGAAUAUUUUUUUUUAGGGAAACAAAUGGAAACUUUGACUAAACUAAGAAGAACUCUGCUAAAAACUUAUGUAGUACUUCCCAGUGUCAUAUUCCACCUUACUGGACAUCCAGAAUGGGCUACAUGUAAAGGAGCUUCUAAACAAAAAGCUGAUGACUGAAUUAAUGAUUCAGUUUUCCAGUGACAAUCAGAUUAUUUUUCCAUCAGCAAGAGGAACUCUCAUUAAAGUG